rnacentral:pre_miRNA from 16 species
UUGGUGUCGUGGCUCUCAAUUCCGUAGUGCAUUGCAGUUUAAUAUAAUUAUCAACAACUGCAAGCGCUGUGGACUUGGCAGCUCCGAUAGCCGCAAACAC